rnacentral:rRNA from 1 species
UACGUAGGGUGCAAGCGUUGUCCGGAAUUAUUGGGCGUAAAGAGCUCGUAGGCGGUGUGUCGCGUCGGCCGUGAAAACCUGCAGCUUAACUGUGGGCUUGCGGUCGAUACGGGCAUCACUGGAGUUCGGCAGGGGAGACUGGAAUUCCUGGUGUAGCGGUGAAAUGCGCAGAUAUCAGGAGGAACACCGGUGGCGAAAGGCGGGUCUCUGGGCCGAUACUGACGCUGAGGAGCGAAAGCGUGGGGAGCGAA